rnacentral:rRNA from 1 species
GACGGACGGUGCAAGCGUUGCUCGGAAUCACUGGGCGUAAAGGGUGCGUAGGCGGCCGUGCAAGUCUGGCGUGAAAGCCCCGGGCUCAGCCCGGGAAGUGCGCUCGAAACUGCGCGGCUCGAGUGCCGGAGGGGAGAGUGGAAUUCCCGGUGUAGCGGUGAAAUGCGCAGAUAUCGGGAAGAACACCCGUGGCGAAGGCGGUUCUCUGGGACGGUACUGACGCUGAGACGCGAAAGCGUGGGGAGCGAACAGG